AUCCAGCUGAUGUGAGUCCCAAAUAGGACGCAACGUGUGUCCUGGAU
rnacentral:hammerhead_ribozyme from 1 species